UCCGGUUGAUCCUGCCGGAAGCCACUGCUAUUGGAGUCCGACUAAGCCAUGCGAGUCCUGGGGAGCUUUGCUCACCGGCGGACGGCUCAGUAACACGUGGACAACCUGCCCUCGGGAGAUGGAUAACCCUUGGAAACAGGGGCUAAACCGCCAUAGGUCACGGAGGCUGGAAGGCGCCGUGGCUGAAACUCCUUCGGGAGCCUGAGGAUGGGUCUGCGGCCUAUCAGGUUGUAGUGGGGGUAACGGCCCCACUAGCCAGCAACGGGUACGGGCCCUGAGAGGGGGAGCCCGGAGAUGGACUUUGAGACACGAGUCCAGGCCCUACGGGGCGCAGCAGGCGCGAAACCUUCGCAAUGCAGGAAACUGCGACGAGGGGACUCCAAGUGCCUACGCUCAGCGUAGGCUGUUCAUGAGCCAACGAGCUCCGUACAAAUC
rnacentral:rRNA from 1 species